UACGAAGGACCCGAGCGUUAUCCGGAUUUAUUGGGUUUAAGGGGUGCGUAGGCGGACUUAUAAGUCAGUGGUGAAAUCUCCCAGCUUAACUGGGAAACUGCCAUUGAAACUAUUUGUCUUGAGUACAUUUGAGGCGGGCGGAAUGUGUCAUGUAGAGGUGAAAUGCUUAGAUAUGACAUAGAACACCAAUUGCGAAGGCAGCUCGUUACACGAAUAUUGACUCUGAGGCACGAAAGCGUGGGGAUCAAACAGG
rnacentral:rRNA from 1 species